UUGUGGAGGAGGACGCCGAAGGUGGGGCUAAUGACUGGGGUGAAGUCGUAACAAGGUAGCCGUACCGGAAGGUGCGGCUGGAUCACCUCCUAACAGGGAGACAACAAAAUGUAAAUAUUAAUUUUGUCACCUUAGGUCGAUCGGUAUCUCAGAUUCUUAUUUUUUAAGAAUUUCAGUUUCUAAGUUUUUUCUAGGUCACACCCAUCACUUUUUCCUGGGCCAUUAGCUCAGGUGGUUAGAGCGCACCCCUGAUAAGGGUGAGGUCCCUGGUUCAAGUCCAGGAUGGCCCAUAUCUCUAUGUUGGGGGCAUAGCUCAGUUGGUAGAGCGCCUGCUUUGCAAGCAGGAUGUCAGCGGUUCGAGUCCGCUUACCUCCACUGAUUACCACCUCUUCCAUAAUUGGUAGAAAGGAAAUGUUUUGAGUUGUGAUCAAAUUCUGAACGAAUCUAGCUUCCUAAUGUAAUUAUUAAGAUGCUGGACUCAUUGAAUUAAUUUCAUUGUUUUCAGAGAACCUUGACAACUGCAUAGAUUAUUUUUAAAGACAAUAAGCAUCUUUAAUGAUGCAGAUUUAUUAUUUUUGCUAAUGCAUUAAUAACAAUUCUAUUAAGCUGAUGCUUCAAUUAUGAAGUUAUUGGUCAAGCUACAA
rnacentral:misc_RNA from 1 species